rnacentral:lncRNA from 1 species
GGUAGUUCAUUUUAUGCAACUUGGAUCAUUCGUUUGGGUCUCAGAUAAACCCUCCCCCAAAUUAACAAGGCCGUCAUAGAGUUGUCUGUUCAUUCCAACUAGGUCAGAAUUCAUGAAACUUUUCAAGAAAAAUUACAUCCUUCAAAUUGAUCGUUUUAUACUAGAAAAUUAUUAAGAACCGUAAACAGAAUAGCCAGCUCAUUUUUUGCUAGGAUCCAAGUUGAUCCCCUGAAGAUUCAGCAAAAGAUCACCUGCUUCCAGGUAAACCUUGUUUGCUGAAUUUGCAAUAACAUGUGCUAUCUCCCUCGCGGCUUCUAUCUUCCUCAGUGUGAUGAAAGCUGGAUUGUUGGCAAUGGCUUGUCCGAUCAGUUGGGCACUUUUAGCCUCACCCUGUUGAUUUGUAAAAAAGGUCAGGGGGGAACUGAAUAUUUAGGAAGCAAAAUAUGUUCAACAUUCAAUGUUGAUCAAUAAUGGACUGAGGUGUAAAACUGGCAAUUGCAAAUUACAUACUACUUGUAUUUAAUUUUGACGUGUCAUGCUAACCCGUGCCCUGAGGUCAUUGUUUAAGAAACUCAAAAGGAAACUUUGUCUAGAAAAUACAAGUCAAACUCUUGUUGAAGUAAUAAAUACAUCAUUUUCUAUGCAAAAGCUACUUCUUUUGAUUCCUAAAACAAUAGCCUAAGGGCACUUGUUAAUAUUUUCCGAUUUUACAACCCACAUUAAACUUGACAACCAGAUUUGUGAACAAACUCACUUGUUAGUGGUUACCAAAGAUGUAUCCAACAUCAUGAUCAAGUCAAACUCUUGUUGAAGUAAUAAAUACAUCAUUUUCUAUGUAAAAGCUACUUCUUUUGAUUCCUAAAACAAUAGCCUAAGGGCACUUGUUAAUAUUUUCCAAUUUUAAAACCCACGUUAAACUUGACAACCAAAUUUGUGAACAAACACACUUGUUAGUGGUUACCAAAGAUGUAUCCAACAUCAUGAUCAAGUCAAACUCUUGUUGAAGUAAUAAAUACAUCAUUUUCUAUGCAAAAGCUACUUCUUUUGAUUCCUAAAACAAUAGCCUAAGGGCACUUGUUAAUAUUUUCCAAUUUUAAAACCCACGUUAAACUUGACAACCAGAUUUGUGAACAAACACACUUGUUAGUGGUUACCAAAGAUGUAUCCAACAUCAUGAUCAAGAGAACAGAUAAGACUGCUAGUUUUGGAACCAGAUAAAAUAAUAAUUAACAUUUUUGCCGAAUGUGUUCUGCACGAAAAUAUAAAAACAACAAAAACAUGUACCAGGCACCACAGCAGUAAUAACUGCAUAAGAAUUCACGGUUUCUUCUUACCUGUGCUCUAAUUACAGCACUUCUCUUGUCUUGCUCAGCUUUUUCCACAACAAAUUUAGCCCUCUCAGCUUCUUGUGCAGCCACCUGCUUGGCUUCAAUUGCAGCAGUAAACUCCUUGCCAAAGGUCAGACUAGUAAUUGACACAUCAUCAAGAGCAAUGUUGAAGUUGGCUGCCCUCUCAGUCAGAAUCUUCCGGAUUUCACGACUAACAGCCUACAAAGAAUAGAUCUAUUAAAACAUACUUCUUUGUUGAGAAUUGAAAUUAACAAUGAUGUCAAUUAAACAAACAAAACAAUAAUACUUUCCCACUUAAAAUGAAUUCAAACCAAUAAAUAAAUUAUAAGAUGUGAUUUUAAUUUCAUAAAACAUGUGCUACCGGGUAAUGACAAGAACUUAUGCAUAAUAUUUUCAAGGACAGAUCAUGUGUAUGUAUAUUAGUCGUACUUCUAUCAAAUAUAGAAAGAAAAAAAAUCUAACAUAAUGACAGGCAAAGGAAAAAAGUUAACUCAGUAACUAGCAACAUGAUUUGAAUAAUAACUUGAGUGUUAAUGCAUCACAGCUAGAUUUUCUACUUACCUCUCGCUGUGUAAUAAGUUGGCUGGCAUUGUACUGGGCAACCACAGCUUUCAAAGUUUCAUGUAUGAUUGAAGGCAAAACCCGUUCAUUAUAGUUCUCUCCAAGGGUCCGAUAAACUGUAGGUAGCUGGCCAG